rnacentral:rRNA from 1 species
CGGUAGCAAUACGUCAGCGGCAGACGGGUGAGUAACGCGUGGGAACGUACCUUUUGGUUCGGGAUAACCCAGGGAAACUUGGACUAAUACCGGAUAAGCCCUUACGGGGAAAGAUUUAUCGCCGAAAGAUCGGCCCGCUUCUGAUUAGCUAGUUGGUGAGGUAACGGCUCACCAAGGCGACGAUCAGUAGCUGGUCUGAGAGGAUGAUCAGCCACAUUGGGACUGAGACACGGCCCAA